CCCUGGCAGGUCAGAGGUUAGAGCAUCUGCCUGCAAUGCAGGAGACCCAGGUUCAAUCCCUGGGUCCGGAA
rnacentral:tRNA from 1 species